CCAGCCUCACUUAAACUCAUAUCCCACAAGCAUCAAUCACAUUUCCCCUUUCAUGCUUCUGCUUUGUACCAAAAAAAAAAGUCAAAACUCAUUCGGACAAUGAUCUGCAACAUCUUCAAUUGUAGUAAAUGAAGUUUGUACUGUCCUCACCUACUUAACUAAUUAGUAACAAAUCUUGGAGAUUAAAUCACCAUAUUUUGCUUCUAAGGUUAGCCAUCUCUUCACACCUUCUCAAUCCCUUUCACUCAAACUUCAUUAAUUUAUGCAUCCAUCAAUGAAAAGCCAAAAAGCUUCAUGCCCUUCGAUACUUUUACAUUCACAAAUCGUAAAUUGCUUUCCCUUCUUCCUUGAUCUCUUGAUCUAACAUUACGGGGACAAAUGGCAAUAGUUACGACUUACAACGUGUUUCUAAGCUUUAACAAGAUUUCUACAAAUAUGAAUUUUGCCCGCCCUUCGAAAAUUUCCUUUUAAGGCAUGCGAAUUGGAUGUGAUGAGUUAUCGUUCUCGUGGAUGCAUGUUAGGCACGCGAAUUGGAUGAUCGAACACAAGGAGACUUGUAGGCCAAUGUUGAGGUUUGCAAACUCAGAUGGCAUGGGAUACGAAACAAGUCGAUCAAAACCUAAAACAGGUUCAAGCAAAGGCAGUUAGUGAAUCUGGCAAGUCAACUUACAUUUAUGGUCGGUUUAGCAAUAGAUUUCUGUAUGUUUAAGUUUUAAGUUAAAUGGUAGCAACUUUGUAUAAAAGCUGUAGAAUACCCCUAUGCGUUGCGAGGGGCAUUCUGUCAUAUCGGUUCCGUUCAUUACAGUAGCAAUACAUUACCAGCACUCGGUAUCACUAUCGAAAGUCAUGAGUCCAACAAAUUAUAUUUAAUAGCAUAAAUGUCAUCACUACGUUGCUCUU